AAUCUCUGAGGUCCAUAGAUCUCAGGUCUGCGUGAAAUUGUCUCAGCUAGGCCUAAAGUCACCGGGCCGCCCGAGCCUCCCUCUCAAGGAGCCUGGAUCUUAGCCUGAGAGAUGAAGAAAGCCACUACGGGAUUGAGGGAGUAGACACCUCUGCCUGUCCUUUGGCGGUGCCCACAUAAGGAAACUUUCCUCCCAGAGGUGUGCUGGAUUCCUAUCCCUGACAUGGGGUUGACAUCAAAACAAUUCUGCAACAGGAAGAACCAGGAGGCGGCUCAUCUGACAAGAACCCCUCCUUCAGCAGGAAGACUGGAGGUGGUUUGAUCUGUGUGACUUCUGAAGAGCACUGCCUGACUUCAAUACCCACGGUCACCUUCCCUUCCAACUGAGGAGUGUGAGACAGAAGGCUGCUGGAAAAUGUAAAGAAAAAAAAAAGGCAUAGCGGCAGGUUCAUCCUUGCAACGACGCUUGCUGGAGUCUCCUUGUUAGAAGAGCAGAAUGUUCCAGAAAUGCAGCAAAGCAGAGCCUGAGCUGAGUCUUCAGGCAUCAGCAGCCUAGUGAAGAAGACAUGUGGCCCAACAGAUAGGUGUGCAGCAAUAAUUAAAGACCUGGUAUCUGGCCAUAGACCUUGGCGGGCCUGUGGUAUGCCUGGAGUCUAGGGAUAAGAACAGCCGCACGUGUGCAUGCAAGUCACCGGGAGCCCUACUGGCCUGUUUUCUAAGUGGAUCAGGCUCCAGUAAAGAUCACCAGCUUACUUGUUUAAAAGGGUUUUCUCCAGAUCUACUAAAAGAGGAUGUCC